GGAUUAGAUACCCUGGUAGUCCACGCCGUAAACGAUGUCUACUAGUCGUCGGGGAUCUUGCAUUCCUGGUGACGCAGCUAACGCGAUAAGUAGACCGCCUGGGGAGUACGGCCGCAAGGUUAAAACUCAAAUGAAUUGACGGGGGCCCGCACAAGCGGUGGAGCAUGUGGUUUAAUUCGAAGCAACGCGAAGAACCUUACCUGGCCUUGACAUCCUGCGAACUUACUAGAGAUAGUUUGGUGCCUUCGGGAACGCAGUGACAGGUGCUGCAUGGCUGUCGUCAGCUCGUGCCG
rnacentral:rRNA from 1 species